rnacentral:rRNA from 1 species
GGGGGGCUUCGGCUCCCUCAGUAAACCGGCGCACGGGUGAGUAACACGUAGGUAACCUACCCUGAAGUUCGGGAUAACCUAUCGAAAGAUGGGCUAAUACCGGAUAUGACCACGAGGGUGACGGCCCCUGGGGUGAAAGAUGGCCUCUGCUUGCAAGCUAUCACUUUGGGAUGGGCCUGCGGGCCAUUAGCUAGUUGGUGGGGUAACGGCCCACCAAGGCAACGAUGGCUAGCUGGUCUGAGAGGAUGAUCAGCCACACUGGGACUGAGACACGGCCCAGACUCCUACGGGAGGCAGCAGUGGGGAAUAUUGCGCAAUGGGGGAAACCCUGACGCAGCGACGCCGCGUGGGUGAUGAGGGCCUUCGGGUCGUAAAGCCCUGUCGGAGGGGAAGAACGACUGCCGCGUGAACAAUGCGGUGAUCUGACGGUACCCUCAAAGGAAGCACCGGCUAACUCCGUGCCAGCAGCCGCGGUAAUACGGAGGGUGCAAGCGUUGCUCGGAAUCACUGGGCGUAAAGGGCGUGUAGGCGGCUUCGUGUGUCUGACGUGA